UACAGAGGUCUCAAGCGUUGUUCGGAUUCAUUGGGCGUAAAGGGUGCGUAGGCGGCGCGGUAAGUCGGGUGUGAAAUCUCGGAGCUUAACUUCGAAACUGCAUUCGAUACUGCCGUGCUUGAGGACUGGAGAGGAGACUGGAAUUUACGGUGUAGCGGUGAAAUGCGUAGAUAUCGUAAGGAAGACCAGUGGCGAAGGCGGGUCUCUGGGACGUUACUGACGCUGAGACGCGAAAGCGUGGGGAGCAAACAGG
rnacentral:rRNA from 1 species